rnacentral:rRNA from 1 species
GGGGGCGGGCAGUCUACACAUGCAAGUCGAGCGGCAGCACAGAGGAACUUGUUCCUUGGGUGGCGAGCGGCGGACGGGUGAGUAAUGCCUGGGAAAUUGCCCGGUAGAGGGGGAUAACCAUUGGAAACGAUGGCUAAUACCGCAUAACCUCGUAAGAGCAAAGCAGGGGACCUUCGGGCCUUGUGCUACCGGAUAUGCCCAGGUGGGAUUAGCUAGUUGGUGAGGUAAGGGCUCACCAAGGCGACGAUCCCUAGCUGGUCUGAGAGGAUGAUCAGCCACACUGGAACUGAGACACGGUCCAGACUCCUACGGGAGGCAGCAGUGGGGAAUAUUGCACAAUGGGCGCAAGCCUGAUGCAGCCAUGCCGCGUGUAUGAAGAAGGCCUUCGGGUUGUAAAGUACUUUCAGUAGGGAGGAAGGGUGGUUAAGUUAAUACCUUAAUCAUUUGACGUUACCUACAGAAGAAGCACCGGCUAACUCCGUGCCAGCAGCCGCGGUAAUACGGAGGGUGCAAGCGUUAAUCGGAAUUACUGGGCGUAAAGCGCAUGCAGGUGGUUUGUUAAGUCAGAUGUGAAAGCCCUGGGCUCAACCUAGGAAUUGCAUUUGAAACUGACAAGCUAGAGUACUGUAGAGGGGGGGUAGAAUUUCAGGUGUAGCGGUGAAAUGCGUAGAGAUCUGAAGGAAUACCGGUGGCGAAGGCGGCCCCCUGGACAGAUACUGACACUCAGAUGCGAAAGCGUGGGGGAGCAAACAGGAUGAGAUACCCUGGUAGUCCACGCCGUAAACGAUGUCUACUUGGGAGGUUGUGACCUAGAGUCGUGGCUUUCGGAGCUAACGCGUUAAGUAGACCGCCUGGGGAGUACGGUCGCAAGAUUAAAACUCAAAUGAAUUGACGGGGGCCCGCACAAGCGGUGGAGCAUGUGGUUUAAUUCGAUGCAACGCGAAGAAGCUUACCUACUCUUGACAUCCAGAGAAUCUAGCGGAGACGCUGGAGUGCCUUCGGGAGCUCUGGAGAACAGUGCUUGCAUGGCUGUCGUCAGCUCGUGCUUGUGAAAUGUUUGGGUUAAGUCCCCGCAACGAGCGGCAACCCUUUAUCCUUGUUUUGCCAGCCACGUUAAAUGGUUGGGGAAACCUCCAGGGGAG